GUCCGGGCGAGCGCACCGCCCGCGCCCAGCGCCCCGCGUCCCGGGCCGUGCAGCCAGCCCUUACCUUGCAGCGCUCGGCUCUCCCCGAUCGCUAAGCUACUUAUCCCGGGAAAGCUGCGCGGGGCCCGGGAGCGAACCCACAGACAAAAAGUGAAACUUCGGCAGGGCUGGAGCGACUGCUGGUUGGUGCCUUUCCCCCUCCUUCCUCCCCACCGUCCCCACCCCCUCCCCUCGGUCUCCCGUGCGGUGCCCUGAGCGCUGGAGGCUGACGUCAGGGGCCUGAAUUCCUGACUUUGCCUGCACGCAUUUGUCCAUGUAAGGUAUGGGAAGGCGUGUGCCCGCGGGCCGCAGCGCAGCGCUCGCCUGGCGGGGGAGGGGGCGCACGCAGCGGGCAGUGACUUUGCCAAAAGGUGGGCGCACAGAGGGCAUUGCAUUUCCUGGGAGGAAGAGGAGGAGACGUGGGAAUGUAGGGAACUUGCAAAGGAGGAAGGGAAAGAGGGAGGUGUGGAGGCUUGCCUCCACUGGAGGAAGAGGAAGGAGACGUAGGAGGAAGCGGCCGAGUUGAGGGGCUGCUAGAGAAGUGGGGCGACUUGAGUCUCCUAUGCAGGUGCCAAAUUAGGGGACUGAGCCUGAGCUAAAGUAUUCCCUUCGACAGACCUCCUCCUGAGCCCCACCCCGGAUUCCCAGCAAGACUCAAAACUUACAGGAUGUUCAAACUGGCAGAGACAAACUUCCAACCCAUUCACUUCACCCGUGAGAAUGCUGAAACUUGCAGAAAAGAAAUGAUUUGCACAGAACCUACUCUCAACAGAUCCAGGAGCGGGACCCGAGUCCCUGCCUCCCCUCAGGAUUGAUUCCAGCCCGCAGGCAGGGUCCUGACUGCCUCCUAACCUCUGAACUGUGAACCAGGUUAGAUAUCAGACUAGGCAGGAGGACCACCCAGUGAAGUGACUUUAUAUUUCCCUUCCAGAACUAGUUCUGAGAAGGUUCUGGUUGACAGUGAGCCCUGAGGAACAGAGACAAUCAGUUGCUUCAGGGUAACUUCCCUUGUACUAUGCUGAAAGAGGUGAGUUAAACAACUACAGCUUGCUCUGUACUUACAGUUUCGAAAAAAUGUAUACGAACUGGGUGGACUGGUUUGAAUAAAGACAAGCCUGUUCUUGGAAGGUUCAA
rnacentral:lncRNA from 1 species